UGUCCAGUAACUCCUAUCCCUACCUCCCCGUGGUGCCGCCUGGAAUACGAGUAACCAUAGGGACCCUGGUGGGGCCUUGGUCGUAUGCUGACAGGGAAGG
rnacentral:ribozyme from 1 species